UCUCCUCUUCUUCGUCUUGGUUGUGGAUGUGUGGAGUGUCAAUUUUUUUUUUCGCUGGAGCAGUGGGAUGAAUGCUCGCGCAGCACGGAGAGAGAGUGGAGUGUGUGAGAAAAAUCGAUAGGUUUUUAGGGGCAGCUGACCCAUCUAUUCUAUGAUCCAGGAUUGAUUGUUACUGGCGUGCCUUCCUUCUUGAAUCUUCUUCUAUAAAAGCUUGUGGCCGGACAGACCAUUUCUCCCUCGCUCGCUCGCUCGCUCCUCUUUUCCUUGACUUUCUUCCUGAGAAGAAGUCGUUUUUUCCUUCCUCUCUUCAGUCCUCUCCAUCCCGCUGCAAUUGUUUGCUGGGUCACUGUAAUUUAAUCGAUCGAUUCGAUCCACUGCGAUGUGAAUGGCAGCAGCACGUAGAUCUGGAUCAUCCUUUCCAGGAAGGGAAAAAGAGAAGCUCUCCCACAUCUUGCAGUCGAUCGUUCGAGCGAGACAUUAGACUCUAGAGCGAAAGAUGAAGCAAAGAGGUUUAUGUUGCGGGGAGUGCUGCCUGGCUCGAGACAGCAUCGCCGAGAUCUGAUCAAAUCGCAAAGUUGAGAAACAAGCAUCACAGUUUGAUCUGGAGAUCGUGUUGUGUCGGACCAGGCUUCAUUCCCCUCAGCUACAAAUUUGCGUCCCUCAUUUCUCUGCUCGCUCAGUCCUCGAUCGAUGGAAAGCUUCGAUUUUUCUCCUUUCUCUGUUGCUCACUUACGUGUGCGUCCCGUUUCUGCAGAUUCUUUCUUCUCCUUUUCUUCGUUUCUAGUAACUGUUGUUUUCAGUCGGAAAGAAGAAGCCUCUCAAGAACACAUUUUACUCGCUGCGCUGCGGGUAAGUUUCUCGUGGUUGAUUUUCUGCUCUUUCUUAUCUUCUCGAUUCUUUCUCUUGGCUUCUAUUCUUUUUUGCUUGCUUGCUGCUGUUGGGUUCCAGGUUCCAGGCUUCGUGAUGAAUCCAUCCAUGGCUUCCGUUCCUGGCGAUUCAUUCAAAAGUCUGUGUGGUUGCUGCCAUCAUAAGAUUCGCUUUUGGCAAGAUGACAACGAACUGCAAACAAAGCGUUUCUGUUCUGAGAUAUUGGAACAUGCCUCCAUUCAUCUUUCGAAGAAGAAGAAGAUUUAAACGCGAUAGUUCAUUGUAAUCCAGUCUUAUCACGCAAUUUUUCCUUGUAAGAUCGUUUGUUUCUUCAAGUAUUAUCCUUUGUUUCGUGUC